AUCCUUGUGGGAGGGGAGAAGCGCUAUCUGUGACGUCUUGCAGAGAUGCACUUUCUGCUAGUUGAAGACUACUAGAAUUGAAUUCUAGUAGUCGGGAAUUCUAAGAAUUCCCGUCUCAGUGAUCUGACGGUC
rnacentral:snRNA from 1 species